GAAUGAUCGUGAUGCACUGACAAUAACGUGAAUACUCAAUCUUUGAACGCACUUGCGCCCCUUGGUAUCCCGAGGGGCAUGCCUGUUCGAGCGUCAUU
rnacentral:rRNA from 1 species